AACUCGAUUGGUUUUAUUUUUGUAUCAAAUUAUUAAUUUAAUUACAGAAGAAAAAAAAAAAGGAUAUCUAUCGGAGUUGGCAACGAGGGAAUCCUGGACCUCAUCACGUGGGCCAUGAGCCAGAGAGACCGUGGGUCCCACUCAGUACGGUACUUCCCAUUUGUCAACUCUCUUCUGUCUCCUUCCCUCCUUCCUUUCACCCGC
rnacentral:lncRNA from 1 species